rnacentral:misc_RNA from 1 species
GAAGUACUUGGAGAAAUGGGACAAGACUUACUGGCCAACAUACAAGGUGCUUGAUAUCUUGCAGAAGGUAUUUUACAGGUCGAAUCCAGCAAGAGAAGCUUUCGUGGAGAUGUGCGCUGAUGAGUAUGUGCAGAAGAUGACAUUCGACAGCUAUUUGUACAAGAAAGUUGCACCAGGAAACCCCAUUGAAGACUUGAAGCUUGCUGUGAAUACCAUUGGAAGUUUGGUGAGGGCUAAUGCACUAAGAAGGGAAAUGGACAAACUCAGUGUAUAAGAAGAGGAUAAAAUUUCAUAGUAGCUAAUAUUUUGUAAACUUGAUUUGUAAUUGAAGUAUUUAUGCCUUUUAUCGAAUUUCAUGUUACUUGCAUUCCUGUCAAUGUUGUUGAAGCUAGUUUAAACUUCGAAUUUGGAC